rnacentral:tRNA from 2 species
UGUCUCAUGGUGUAAUGGUAGCACAACAGGUUUUGGUUCUGUUUGUCCAAGUUCGAAUCUUGGUGAGACAACAA